GACCGGGCCGGCGCUGGGGUAAGAAGCCUGCUGAGGGAUGCCCAAGAAGUUCCAGGGUGAGAACACCAAGUCGGCAGCGGCCCGGGCACGGAGGGCAGAGGCCAAGGCGGCCGCUGAUGCCAAGAAGCAGAAGGAGCUGGAGGAUGCCUACUGGAAGGACGACGACAAACACGUCAUGAGGAAGGAGCAGCGCAAGGUGCGUGCACUCCGAGUCCCCACGGCCCACGUGCCCUGUGGCCAAGGCCAGUGGUCCUUAUGUCAAUGUGGGUGAAUAGCAAGAGGCCCCUCUAAGCUUUGGUCUGAAAGGCCAGGAGAGACCAGGCGCUGUGGCUCACGCCUGUCAUCCCAGUACUUUGGGAGGCCGAGGCAGGCAGAUCACCUGAGGUCAGGAGUUCAAGACCAGCCUGGCCAACAUGGUGAAACCCCGUCUCUACUAAAGAUACAAAAAUUAACUGCGUGGUGGUGCACACUUAUAGUCCCAGCUACUCUGGAGGCUGAAGCAGGAGAAUUGCUUGAACUGGGAGGUGCAGGUUGCAGUGAGCCGAGGUCUCCCCGCUGCACUCCAGCAUGGUCAACAGAGUGAGAUUCCAUCUCAAAAAA
rnacentral:sRNA from 1 species